rnacentral:misc_RNA from 1 species
UGAGUCACAUCUCCAUAAAAGAGUUACCAGAUUCAGUUGGUAAUUUGAUGCAUAUGAGGUAUCUUGACCUCUCACACACUGACAUCAAGGAGCUACCUGAAUCAAUUUGCAGCCUCUGUAAUCUGCAGACACUAAUUCUUGUCAAUUGCAACAAGCUUCUUAUUUUGCCAAAAGGUACAAAAGAUUUGAUAAAUCUACGGCAUCUUGAUUUGACGGGAUGUUGGCAUCUCAGAUCCAUGCCGCCAUAUUUUGGGAGACUUACUUCUUUGCAAAGGCUGCAUAGGUUUAUUGCUGGAAAUGAAGUCGGGAGUGGAAUUAGUGAGUUGAAGGACAUGAAUGAACUUCGAGCUACACUUUGCAUUGAUAGGGUUGAGGACAUUAUUAAUAUUGAAGAUGCAAAGGAGGCUAACUUGAAGAGGAAGCCAUAUAUACACAAGUUGGUGCUGAGAUGGAGUAGAAGUCAACGUGUGCGGGAUGCGAUUGAUGAGGAAUUGCUUGAAUGUCUUGAACCUCAUACCAGCCUUAGAGAAUUAACCAUUGAUGUAUAUCCUGGUGCCAAGCUUCCGAACUGGAUGGGAGAUUCACUGCUGUCUCAUUUAGAGAGCAUUGAAUUCAUCCAUUGUAGCUACUGUAAAACCCUCCCUCCUCUUGGUCAGCUACCGUUUCUCAAAUAUCUCAC